AAAAACAUAAUUUAUUGAGUUAAAUUUAUUAAGAAUUUCUUGGGAACUAUAUUGAAUCAAUGGAAGUCACCCCUCUAGCUACAUAUCAAUCCCAAUCCAUUCCAUAUCUCAUUACAUAAUAGGAACUCUGAAAUAUUUCAUGGGGAAGUGAUUACCUGACCUGUCACAUAGAUGCAGUUCAGGCAUUUCAGGUGAAGAGCUUCCCUUGACAAUGGCAUUCAUGGCAGAGUUACGCUGCUCGGGGCAAGUGCUUCUACGCUAGAUUUAUUGAUUUAACAUCCUGCUUUCUUUUAAGAGCAAAUGUAACUGUUGAUAGGCGAUAACAUGAGCAGAAUUAAUAUUUAGGCUCUCUUUGUUUUAUGAUGGCAUGCUUCAAUCUGUUCCAAUGUAUCAACAAUUUCUUUCAUGGAUGGUCGGAAUUUGGGUUCUUGUUGAAGACACUUAAUAGCAAGCUGAGCUAUUUGCGAGGCUUCCUUGUAGGGAUAUUUCCCCUCUAACCGGGAGUCCAUUAUUUUUUUCAACUUCCUUUUGCUUGAUAGAUAUGGUUUCACCCAAUCCACAAGUACCCACUGCUCUGUCGGACGUCUUUUAUCAAUUGCACGUAAGCCUGUUAGAAUCUCAACCAUAACAACUCCAAAACCGUACACAUCAGCCUUUACGUACAAACGCCCUGUGGCAAUGUACUUUGGGUCCAUAUAACCAGCAGUGCCUGAAAAACUUCUUGUGGCAUGUGAAGAACUAGCGAAAGAACCCAAAAAUGCCAAGCCAAAGUCUGAAAUUUUUGCAUUAUAAGACUUAUCAAGAAGUAUAUUUGAAGACUUGAGAUCUCUGUGAAUUAUUGGUGCAUCUAGCGUGUGCAUGUAUGCCAGUCCUCGAGCUAUUCCUAAAGCAAUCUUAAACCUUAUGUCCCAUGGAAGUGGCCGAACGGAGCCCUUUCCAAAUAGUUGGUAAUUUAAGCUGCCAUUCUGCAAUAAUUCAUACACAAGGAGGAAUUUUUCAUUCUCCAAACAGUAUCCCAACAACUUCACAAGGUUAGGGUGAGAAAGCUUUCCCAAAAUUCGCACCUCUGACAACCACUCUUCAAAUCCUUGCCUGCCCAUAGUAUCCAAUUUCUUGACAGCGAUGACCGAUUUCUUUUUGCCCUCAGAUGGCACAUACUCCUUGAGCCCCCCUUUAUAAACUUUUCCAAAACCUCCCCUUCCCAAGAGCAUAUCUCUUCUAAAAUUGUGGGUGGCAGCCUUCAACUGUGCAUAUGUGAAAACUCUCAAGGUUUCACCAGCAAUAAUAUCCCCAUUAGAAAGACCCUCAAAAUCAAUUCCUUCUGAGGCUUGGCUGUUCUCAGUGGCAUUAUUAGUCCCAGGAACUGUUAAACUGGUACUCACUUGAGAUGCCCAUGUGAAAUUGGUGCUUGCCACAGUCUGCCAGCUCCUGUCACUAACAAGAGAUGUAUCAGGAUUCAGACGGUCGAUGGUGGUUGAUAUUGGUGGUGGGUCUGGGGAUGGCACAUCAGCAGGCGAGCUCCAGCAAAUCCCCAUUAAUUACUUCUGUAUCCUUUCCUUUCUUCCUUGCAGAAUGGAUAGAGGGAGAGGGAGAGGGAGAGAGAGAUAUGAGAAGUCAUUGUCAAAAAAUUAUUAUUUAAUUCC
rnacentral:misc_RNA from 1 species